CAGAUGGCCUGUCCCCCGUAUAAAACACAUCUCAAGGGAGGAAAAGAAACAACCCCGGAUUGCGGCUGUAAUAGGUAGUGAAAAGCGGCAAGACCCCUUGAAAUAUGGCGCUCCGGGGGGCGCGCAUUAAUAAGCAGCGGAACUUCGGACUCAGCCCCCGUGUAAGUGCCCUGGAACACGCAGUCUGAGAGGGUGAGAAUCCCAACUGGGACGGGGUGCCUGGGUCCAUGUGAAGCUCUUUCGACGAGUCGAGUUGUUGGGGAAUGCAGUUCUAAAAGGGUGGUAAAUUUCAUGAUCAGUUAAAUACGGCCGGAGGUGAUAGCGCAGCAGUAGAGUGAUCGAAAAUUUACCAGCCAUUGAAAAGACAUUUAACAAACAACUUGAAAUUGUUGAAGGAGAAGCGCUUGGGAUCAGACUCCCCUUCCCGGUUCGGGAUUGCCACCCUGUCGGAGUACUUCCCCGCAGGCCAGCCAGAGUCGGUUCGGGUGGGCGGCCUAAGGCCCAAGGAACAAGGCGCCCUCCGGGGGGUCGUAUAUCCCGAGGGUUUAUGCUGCAGAACUUAAGCGAGGUGCCUUACAGAUGUCCAUGA
rnacentral:rRNA from 1 species